rnacentral:rRNA from 1 species
UUGUUUGACCUCGGAUCAGGUAGGGAUACCCGCUGAA